ACGAAAGCUAGGGGAGCAAACAGGAUUAGAUACCCUGGUAGUCCUAGCCCUAAACCAUCAGGACUUGGGGUUUGCCCUGUACGGGGCAAGUCCCGUAGCUAACGCGUUAAGUCCUGCGCCUGGGGAGUACGGUCGCAAGACUGAAACUCAAAGGAAUUGACGGGGGCCCGCACAAGCGGUGGAACAUGUGGUUCAAUUCGACGCAACGCGAAGAACCUUACCUGGGCUUGAACCGCUACUGACCAACGGUAGAAAUAUCGUCUUCCCGCAAGGGACAGUAGUAGAGGUGCUGCAUGGCUGUCGUCAGCUCGUGCCGUGAGGUGUUGGGUUAAGUCCCGCAACGAGCGCAACCCUUACUCGUAGUUGCCACCCGCAAGGGGGAACUCUACGAGGACUGCUCCGGAUAACGGAGAGGAAGGUGGGGAUGAGGUCAAGUCAGCAUGGCCUUUAUGUCCAGGGCUACACACGUGUUACAAUGCAUGGUACAGACCGUUGCAAACCCGCGAGGGGGAGCUAACCGGAAAAAACCAUGCUCAGUUCGGAUUGCAGUCUGCAACUCGACUGCAUGAAGCUGGAAUCGCUAGUAAUGGCGUAUCAGAUCGACGCCGUGAAUACGUUCCCGGGCCUUGUACACACCGCCCGUCACAUCACGAAAGUGGGUUGUACUAGAAGUCGCCGAGCCAACCGCAAGGAGGCAAGCGCCCAAGGUAUGACUCAUGAUUGGGGUGAAGUCGUAACAAGGUAGCCGUAGGAGAACCUGCGGCUG
rnacentral:rRNA from 1 species